rnacentral:rRNA from 1 species
GUGUCAGCCGCCGCGGUAAGACGAACCGUGCGAACGUUGUUCGGAAUCACUGGGCUUAAAGGGCGCGUAGGCGGGCAGUCAAGUCCGGGGUGAAAUCUUUCGGCUCAACCGGAAAAGUGCCUUGGAUACUGGCUGUCUCGAGGGAGGUAGGGGCAUGUGGAACUUCUGGUGGAGCGGUGAAAUGUGUUGAUAUCAGAAGGAACUCCGGUGGCGAAAGCGAUGUGCUGGACCUCUUCUGACGCUGAGGCGCGAAAGCUAGGGGAGCGAACGGGAUUAGAUACCCCGGUAGUCCUAGCCCUAAACGAUGGGUACUAGAUUGUGGACUUAACAUGGGUUCACAGUCGAAGCAAAAGUGGUAAGUACCCCGCCUGGGGAGUAUGGUCGCAAGGCUGAA